rnacentral:lncRNA from 1 species
UCUCUUACUCUCAAACUGAGAUAUUUGUAUAGUGGAAGCCAUGGACGUGCUUUUGCUCUCUUCACCACCAACCCCACACUUAUCUUCCUCUCUCAGACCCUCUCUUCGUUCCUCUAAACCCUCUCCUCUUCCUUUCACUUUCAAUCCAGUCUCUUCUCCCCUCAAAUGUUUCCCAUCUCUCAAAACCUCCCUUCAAUCUUCUCAAACCCUAACUCCUCAAUUCUCGGCUCCCCAGACACCCGCGACCGCCAUGAGGGGAGCGGAGACCGAUGCCAUGGGGCUUUUG